AGUCGUGUUGAGCGCCCCUAGCAGAAAAAAUACAAACUAAAGUAUUCGACCAAAUUACAGUAGCUCCACUUGCGCGCUUAUGCUGGAACGCGCCGCGGUUGAUUUUUCGCCCUCUGUGGCCAUUUGGUGAACUCGAGAGUUUCCGGGGCCUGGUACACUCUAAUUGUGAGCAGUCUUUUGCAACGGUAUUCAGUGUGCCAUUAGUUUCGUAGUCGCAAUUUUGUUAAUCGUAUUAUUUAUUUUUUAGCUACAAAUUAAGUUUUCCUUCAAAAUUUAUUAUGUCUUCUAUGAACAAAAAUUAUCAAUCAUUAUUUAUGGAUUUUAGUGGUUAUUUUUAGUAGGAACGAUUUUAUUAACUUAAUACGAUACUGAGGCUGCGACUGGUUUUCGACUCUGUCACUCGUUUGAACUUGUGCGGUGGUUCGUCCCGCGCGAGCUUUGUUGGAAGCAUUUUUCUUUUUUUUUUUGGACAUCAUGACGCAAAUUUUAGUGAAAUUGCUCUAUGAUGAUAAGUGGGAUGUUUAUCCGUUGAAGACGUUUGCUGACGCAGCUACUGGUCUUCGGGUGAUGUUCGAGCCUGGCAGUUUUGAUGAGUUGCGUGGCAGAAUUCAUGAUGGAAGGAAGGCGAACAAAGCCGCAGCCUAACUUCUGCACACAGGCAAACCGCAUGCCCUGGAGCGAAAGCUUGCUGCCGCCGCUGCUUCGAUUGAAAUGUUACACAUGCACCAAAAGUCCAGGUGCUAACGUGUCGUUCGUCAAGAACAGCUUGGCGUCGUUUCUCGCAAGAGACAUCCAUUGAUCUGCGGUUGAUUCACCAGGAAGCUCGCAUCUCUGUUGCCACUCUGCGUCAAGUGGGAUUUUUAACUAUUUUUUAUUCUGCCCUGUGGUGUACGCUGUGACGCUGUGAAUACUUACUUUCAUGGACGCUGUGAAGGCUUACUUUCGAUGUGUUCUGCCUUUUAGUUGUAAAGAAUUGGCUACCUUGUGAGUGGAGGUAGUUCCUUUUUCUUGUGAGAAUGUUUAUCAGCCUAACCAAGUGGUACAUGCGUACUUGAAACAGCAGCACAGACGAGGAUAAUGAAAUAAGUAGGAACAUAUACAAGCGCCGACUCAACUAGAAGUUUAUUCUUGAAGACAGGUUGUAAACACAUUGGAACUUGACAAAGAUAAGAAACCAUGUAUGCGUGGCCUUCGUGCUUAAACAAAAUUGUGUUCUCUGCUGUAAGGGGUAGAAUGAACAAUUGUUUCAUCACAAAGACCCCAGAACACAAGAGAAAUUAUGGAAGCCUUAUUUAUUGAUUGCAAAGAAGACAAAUGCAUAAGCUAUCUGUUGCUCUUAAUGGGAAAGAGUUGGGAUUUUUAAAAGAGCUCUCCUUGUUUGGUGGUAUAACUUAUAGGAGAUCUUUCACUGUUUUUUUUACCUGCAUAUUUAUACUACAAAACACGUCUUUCGUUCGUUUUUUUUUGUUGCACCGGGCUGUCUGCCACGCAUGCAUGGCUAUUUCUUUGUCAAGUUGGCCAGUGUGCUUAAUAUCUUUGUUGUCACGAACAAACUUCUAGUAGAGUCAGCAUUAUUGUGUGUUCCUACCUUAUUUCACCGUUCUCAUCUUUGUUUGAGCUGUUUGUAAAGUAUGUACACACACCAAAUUACCAAAGUAUCCGUAAAAUUGAGAUACAUGAAGUUAUUUGCACUAUUCAUUUCUGCAAGAAUGGUAUAGCUUCUCAUCUCGUUUGUUCUUAACGUUGUUGUACAGUUUUUGUAAUAUAUAGCCUGGAAAGACGUUUUCUGUCAGAUUAAAUAUGCAUGUAUGUCACUUUCGAUAUUUUUUUUUCAACAUGGGUAGUGCAGCUCCUUCCGUCUUUCAGUUACUGCUUUGUCGCAACUUUUAUAUAUUUAUGCAGCGAAAUGCUGGUUGAAUUAUAUAUAUUUAUGUGCGCAAGUGUGGUGAAUGGUGUUUUGUAUGUGCAUUUAUUUGCGUUCUUUACUAGCUCUCCAAUCUGGCUGUACAGUUAUUGAAACCUUUUCUCAUGCUUUAUAAUGAGUCGUUCUGGGCUCUUUGAUGAUGCAGGUGACCUUUUAUUUCACUGUUGGGAAUUGCGUUAGCUGUGUGUCACUCCAGUUGUCUGUGUAUUUUAUGUCACUUUAUUAUAUCAUUGAAAGUAUUAGCCUUGCGUUAGCUUUUUAUUGACCGAGGUACCAGUUAGUUGCUGUGUAGAGUGAAAAAGGCCCAAAGAAAUGAUUUCAUUAGCUUUGUUCAAGUCCAGAAACAAAUUCACUGAUGAGCUCACUAAAUUAGAAAAUGCCACCAGUAAACUCUUCCGUACCCAAAAGUAACACAAGAAAUUAAAUACUGUUCACACUCGAGAGGGAAACAGCGCGAAAAAACACAAGGGAGACACACACCAGCGCUUCUUGUCCCUUCUUGUCUUGUGUACUUUUGCGCUGUUUCCCUCUCGAGUAUGCACCGACUAGCCCAAGCCUCUACUGUCUUGAAAUACUGUGCAGUUCUUGACUUAUGCCAGGGAGGUAAGCUGCUUUUACAGCACAAAUGUUUUAGAAGUUUACCUCUGAAAAGCACGAUUCAGGUGUUUUGUAUAUAUAUACAUGCAGUCAUUUGUUUCCAGUCUACUUGUUAUUUUGCCUACUCACAGCCAGCCGUAAACCCUUCUGUGAGUGUUUACUGGGUGUGUGAAGCAUUUUACUGUAAGGUAUCCAGUGGUCUUCAUUUUUGUAUUUAUGCAUGCAAGCCAAGAGUUCAUGUGUUCAAAGUUAGUUACAAGGGUAUGCUUAAGGUCUGCCUUUGAGUCACUUGACUGUUGUUUUUACAAAAUAUAUUUUUUUCUGCUGUAAUUAUGAAAUAUAAUUCUUUCUGCUGUAAUAAACUUCAAGUUGAGUGAGCAUUCGUGCGUAUUCUUAUCUUAAUUCAGCGUUCGCAUCUCUGUUUGAGCUGCUGUUUGUCAAGUCUGUACAUACACCAAAUUGCCAAAGUGCUCGUAAAAUUGUGACACAUAAGACUAUUUGCAUUGUUUAUUCCUGCAAGAAGGCUAUAGGUUUCCAUCUUCCGUUUGUUUUUAACAUUGCUGUACAUCUUUGUAGGUCAAGUUCAAAGAGUCCCUUAGGUAGCCAAUAAGAUUGAUAACGUUGUAAAAUUUAUCAA